UUUGAGAAGCACAAAGCAGCUAGGAGGUGGGCAGUGAAGUAACGCCUCCUGAUAUCUAGCGUGAACCUACCCUCCAUCAACUUAUGGCCGUUAUUCCUCAUUACUCCCAGUAGUGCUCGGGGGAACAGGGACUCCCCCAAUGCCUGCUGGUCCCCCUUGGCCAGUUUGUAGACGACCACCAGAUCCCCCCUCGGCCUUCGCUUGUGGAGGCUGAACAGGUUCAGGUCCCGUAGCCUCUCUUUGUAGGGCCUGUCCUGCUGCCCCCUGACCAUGUGAGUGGCCCUCCUCUGGACCCUCUCCAUGUUGUCCACAUCCCUCUUGAAGUGCGGCGCCCAGAACUGGACGCAGUACUCCAACUGUGGCCUGACCAGUGCCGCAUAGAGGGGGAGGAUCACCUCCUUGGACCUGCUUGAGAUGCAUCUGUGGAUGCAUGACCAGGUACGGCUGGCCUUCCUGACCGCGUCCCCACACUGCCGGCCCAUGUUCAUCUUGGCAUCAAUAAUGACUCCUCAUCAGUACAGAGGCAGAAAAGGAUCUUGAAGGGGGUUCCCCAGCCUGUAGGUACGCUGCUGGUUCUUCCUCCCCAGGUGCAGCACCUUGCACUUGUCAGUGUUGAAAUCCAUCCUGUUCUCAUCCGCCCACCCCUGUAACCUGUCUAGGUGUAGUUGCAGCCUGUCCCUCUCCUCCAGUGUGCCCACUUCUCCCCUCAUUUUAGUGUCAUCCGCAAAUUUGAACGAGGUGCUUUUUAGCCCCUCGUCCAAGUCACUGAUGAAGAUGCUGAAAAGGACCGAGCCCUGGGGGACCCCACUGCGCACAUCCCUCCAGAUCGAAAAAGACCCAUUCACCACCACUCUCUGGGUGCAGCCGUCUAGCCAAUUUGUGACUCAUCUGACAUGCCUGAACCACCACAGAAUCAGGAGAGCUGGGGUCAGUACCUCACCCAGUCCCAGUUGAACCAGGAAGCCUCACAGGGAGUGAGACUGAAGCUGGAGAUCCACACUGAUGGAUCAGGAGCCUCAACUGUGCAGCCGAGAUCACCCCUGAUUGGAGCAGAAAGCUGGCAGGAGAGCCCAAGAAGCCCCGGGAACUAAGGCAAGGCAGUGAACAGACACUGAAGUGAGCCAAGCAUUGGAUAGGUGAG
rnacentral:lncRNA from 1 species